UACGUAGGGGGCUAGCGUUGUCCGGAAUCAUUGGGCGUAAAGGGCGCGUAGGCGGCUGUACAAGUCAAAGGUGAAAUCCCUCGGCUCAACUGAGGAACUGCCUUUGAAACUGUACGGCUUGAGGCCGGGAGGGGGUAGCGGAAUUCCCAGUGUAGCGGUGAAAUGCGUAGAUACUGGGAGGAACACCAGUGGCGAAGGCGGCUACCUGGACCGGUUCUGACGCUGAGGCGCGAAAGCGUGGGUAGCAAACAGG
rnacentral:rRNA from 1 species